rnacentral:rRNA from 1 species
GACGAACGCUGGCGGCGUGCUUAACACAUGCAAGUCGAACGGAAAGGCCCUGCUUUUGUGGGGUGCUCGAGUGGCGAACGGGUGAGUAACACGUGAGUAACCUGCCCUUGACUUUGGGAUAACUUCAGGAAACUGGGGCUAAUACCGGAUAGGAGCUCCUGCUGCAUGGUGGGGGUUGGAAAGUUUCGGCGGUUGGGGAUGGACUCGCGGCUUAUCAGCUUGUUGGUGGGGUAGUGGCUUACCAAGGCUUUGACGGGUAGCCGGCCUGAGAGGGUGACCGGCCACAUUGGGACUGAGAUACGGCCCAGAUUCCUACGGGAGGCAGCAGUGGGGAAUAUUGCACAAUGGGCGGAAGCCUGAUGCAGCAACGCCGCGUGCGGGAUGACGGCCUUCGGGUUGUAAACCGCUUUCGCCUGUGACGAAGCGUGAGUGAUGGUAAUGGGUAAAGAAGCACCGGCUAACUACGUG